rnacentral:rRNA from 1 species
CCUACGGGAGGCAGCAGUGGGGAAUAUUGGACAAUGGGCGAAAGCCUGAUCCAGCAAUGCCGCGUGAGUGAUGAAGGCCUUCGGGUCGUAAAGCUCUUUUACCAGGGAUGAUAAUGACAGUACCUGGAGAAUAAGCUCCGGCUAACUCCGUGCCAGCAGCCGCGGUAAUACGGAGGGAGCUAGCGUUGUUCGGAAUUACUGGGCGUAAAGAGUACGUAGGCGGUUAUUCAAGUCAGAGGUGAAAGCCCGGGGCUCAACCCCGGAACUGCCUUUGAAACUAGAUAACUAGAGUCUUGGAGAGGUUAGUGGAAUUCCGAGUGUAGAGGUGAAAUUCGUAGAUAUUCGGAAGAACACCAGUGGCGAAGGCGACUAACUGGACAAGUACUGACGCUGAGGUACGAAAGCGUGGGGAGCAAACAGGAUUAGAUACCCUGGUAGUCCACGCCGUAAACGAUGAUAACUAGUUGUUCGGUCACUUGGUGACUGAGUGACGCAGCUAACGCAUUAAGUUAUCCGCCUGGGGAGUACGGUCGCAAGAUUAAAACUCAAAUGAAUUGACGGCUGAGAGNGCGAGACGACGACGAGGAGUAG